rnacentral:rRNA from 1 species
AGAGUUUGAUCAUGGCUCAGAACGUACGCUGGCGGCACGCCUAACACAUGCAAGUCGAACGAAGUAGCAAUACUUAGUGGCAGACGGGUGAGUAACAUGUGGGUAUCUGCCCUUUGGCCUGGAAUAACACGAGGAAACUUGUGCUAAUACCGGAUAAGUCUUUACGGAGAAAGCUUUAUGCACCAUUGGAUGAGCCCGCACUUGAUUAGUUUGUUGGUGGGGUAAUGGCCUACCAAGACUGUGAUCAAUAGCUGAUUUGAGAGGAUGAUCAGCCACAUUGGGACUGAGACACGGCCCAAACUCCUACGGGAGGCAGCAGUGGGGAAUCUUGCACAAUGGAGGAAACUCUGAUGCAGCGAUGCCGCGUGAGUGAAGAAGGCCUUUGGGUUGUAAAGCUCUUUCGUCGGGGAAGAAAAUGACUGUACCCGAAUAAGAAGGUCCGGCUAACUUCGUGCCAGCAGCCGCGGUAAUACGAAGGGACCUAGCGUAGUUCGGAAUUACUGGGCUUAAAGAGUUCGUAGGUGGUUGAAAAAGUUGGUGGUGAAAUCCCAGAGCUUAACUCUGGAACUGCCAUCAAAACUUUUCAGCUAGAGUUUGAUAGAGGAAAGCAGAAUUUCUAGUGUAGAGGUGAAAUUCGUAGAUAUUAGAAAGAAUACCAAUUGCGAAGGCAGCUUUCUGGAUCAUUACUGACACCGAGGAACGAAAGCAUGGGUAGCGAAGAGGAUUAGAUACCCUCGUAGUCCAUGCCGUAAACGAUGUGUGUUAGACGUUGGAAAUUUAUUUUCAGUGUCGCAGCGAAAGCGAUAAACACACCGCCUGGGGAGUACGACCGCAAGGUUAAAACUCAAAUGAAUUGACGGGGACCCGCACAAGUAGUGGAGCAUGUGGUUUAAUUCGAAGAUACGCGCAGAACCUUACCAACACUUGACAUGUUCGUCGCGACUUUAAGAGAUUAAAGUUUUCGGUUCGGCCGGACGAAACACAGGUGCUGCAUGGCUGUCGUCAGCUCGUGUCGUGAGAUGUUGGGUUAAGUCCCGCAACGAGCGCAACCCUCACUUUUAGUUGCCAUCAUUUAGUUGGGCACUCUGAAAGAACUGCCAGUGAUAAGCUGGAGGAAGGUGGGGAUGACGUCAAGUCCUCAUGGCCCUUACGUGUUGGGCUACACACGUGCUACAAUGGUAUCUACAACAGGAAGCAAAACAGCGAUGUUAAGCAAAUCCUUAAAAGAUACCUCAGUUCGGAUUGCACUCUGCAACUCGAGUGCAUGAAGCUGGAAUUACUAGUAAUCGUGGAUCAGCGUGCCACGGUGAAUGCGUUCCCGGGUCUUGUACACACCGCCCGUCACACCAUGGGAGUUGGUUCUACCUUAAGGCAAGGUUUAAUACCCUUGACCACGGUAUAGUCAGCGACUGGGGUGAAGUCGUAACAAGGUAA